AUGUUCUCUGUAGCUGUGCUGCUGCUGCUGGCUGCUGGAUCCUGUGUGAACAGUAUUGAUCUCAUCCAGCCAGACUCAAUGGUUGUGCAGCCUGGACAGUCUUUGACCAUCAGCUGUCAGGUCUCUGGUUAUUCUCUGACUGAUGACAGCUAUGCAACAGGUUGGAUCAGACAGUGUGAAGGAAAACCCAUGGACUGGAUCUCCCAUCAGUGGGGUGGUGGUAACUUUUAUCAAAAUAAUGCUCUGAAGAACAAGUUCAGCUACAGCAAGGACACGUCUGCUCUAACAGUGACUCUAAAAGGACAGAAUCUGCAGCCUGAGGACACAGCUGUGUAUUACUGUGCCAGAGUGUCAGAGGAGACACAGUGA